rnacentral:rRNA from 1 species
AGGACGAACGCUGGCGGCGUGCUUAACACAUGCAAGUGGUGCGACGAACCAGGGCUUGCCCUGGGGCCAAGCCGCGAACGGGUGAGUAACACGUGGGUAACCUGCCCCGAUGACCGGGACAACCCGAGGAAACUCGGGCUAAUACCGGAUGUGGUGCACGGGUUUAAGCCUGUGUACUAAAGGAAGCUUCGGCCUCCGCAUUGGGAGGGGCUCGCGGCCCAUUAGCUUGUUGGUGGGGUAACGGCCCACCAAGGCAACGAUGGGUAGCUGGUCUGAGAGGACGAUCAGCCACACUGGGACUGAGACACGGCCCAGACUCCUACGGGAGGCAGCAGUGGGGAAUCUUGCGCAAUGCGCGAAAGCGUGACGCAGCAACGCCGCGUGGGGGAAGACGGCCUUCGGGUUGUAAACCCCUUUCAGGAGGGACGAAGGUUCACCGGUUAACAGCCGUGUGGAUUGACGGUACCUCCAGAAGAAGCUCCGGCUAACUACGUGCCAGCAGCCGCGGUAAUACGUAGGGAGCAAGCGUUGUCCGGAAUCAUUGGGCGUAAAGCGCGCGUAGGCGGCCCCGUAAGUCCGUUGUGAAAGUCAAAGGCUCAACCUUUGAAAGCCGAUGGAUACUGUGGGGCUAGAGUCCGGAAGAGGCGAGUGGAAUUCCUGGUGUAGCGGUGGAAUGCGCAGAUAUCAGGAGGAACACCAAUAGCGAAGGCAGCUCGCUGGGACGGUACUGACGCUAAGGCGCGAAAGCGUGGGGAGCGAACAGGAUUAGAUACCCUGGUAGUCCACGCCGUAAACGAUGGGCACUAGGUGUGGGGGGUAUCGACUCCUCCCGUGCCGUCGCUAACGCACUAAGUGCCCCGCCCUGGGGAGUACGGCCGCGAGGCUAA